rnacentral:rRNA from 1 species
UACGUAGGGACCAAGCGUUGUUCGGAAUUACUGGGCGUAAAGCGCAUGUAGGCGGCGAUUUAAGUCGGGGGUGAAAUCCCAGGGCUCAACCCUGGAACUGCCUUCGAUACUAUUUUGCUAGAGGAUGGAAGAGGUAAGUGGAACUGCAAGUGUAGAGGUGAAAUUCGUAGAUAUUCGCAAGAACACCAGUGGCGAAGGCGGCUCACUGGCCCGAUACUGACGCUGAGGCACGAAAGCGUGGGGAGCAAACAGG